rnacentral:lncRNA from 1 species
CCUUGUGAGCAUUUUUCAUUGUUUUAAUAUCAUGUUUAUGAACUGUUUUAUUUUUGUAAGUCUUUCAUUCAGGAGGAGAAAUUAUAGGGCCAGUUUUUUUUUAACCUUGUGAGAAUAACAGGUAUUUAAUCAUCAUAGUUUGGUACCAUGGUAACAUCAUCAGAAGUAAUCAACAACAACUUACAAGUUUUUGAUACACAUGUUUCCAUUGAAACUUCAUUAUUUGAUUACAGAGUAUGGCCAAAGAUCAAAAUUACUUAGUCAUACUCCUUUUUUUCAUUGAGUGCUUGAUUGUUAUUAAUCAUUAUGUUUGAUUCAGAGUGGAUCAAAUUAAACAUGUUUAGAUUUUUGAGAAUGAAAUCAUUUGUGCUGAUCCAUACAGGUCUUAUACCACCAAAUCAUACAUAGUAGGUCACAUCCAGUUGCAUUUGAAAACGGAUUAAAAAUAUGUUCCUUUUAAUUUGUCCUACAUUUCAUUGCAGUGAAGAAGAAAAAAACAUAUAUAUUGGAUGUAUCAAAGCACCUUUCUUUUAUUAUUUGGUGUUUUUAUAGAAUAUUUUGAAACUGGUAGUUACAUGAUUACAAAAGCUUGUUCACAAGAAAAAAGGAGUGAAAAUUUGACUGGUUAACUUUCAAUGACGGUUUUUAUCUUAUAUGCAAUAAGAAUUAUAAGAUGUAAUGUGAAAUUUUGUCUGUAGCACUGGACAUACAUAGAAUAUUACUCAUGCCAAGUAUUUCUUUAUUUGAUCAAAAGUUAACUUCUGCUCAAUUUUUUUAAAAGUGCAAAUGUUAACAGGCUUAUAGAGGGAAAACAAUUGAUUAAGGUGAGCCUACCCUUUUGGAGAAAAAAACCCUGAACUAAGCCAAUCAAACAGUAAAAUCACUUUGUUGCCACUGAGAUUUGUCAGUGUAAAACUUUAAUGUUCUCAAACCUCUCAUUCUUUACAUCCUUCUAUUUAUUUAUAUGAAGUCGACCCAUGUGAAACAUUGUCCCUUUAAUGAUGUACAAAUAGUCAUGAAGCACCUGUUCCAGCUCUUGUAUAAAAGCAUGCAAAGCAAACCUUUGAUAAACUUGCUAGCUAUGUUGUUCUGGACAAUAAACAUUAACUUCAUUUCAAGGUUAAGUUCCACAUUGUAUGCCAACUUUUAUUGUCCAAUCAAAUCCCAGUAUAUAUUAAACAGACUGAAACUCCACCUUCCUAUAGUUUGCAAACAGCAAACAUAGCAAGCAAGUCGAUCAAAGUUUUGUUUUGCAUGCUUUUAUAGAAAAGCUGUAAAUCCCUUCUCUAUAUGCAUCAUGUGAGUGAUUUAUAUUAGAGAUUUUUAAAUAAAAAUAAACAUGUAAUCAGUGUUUAAUACUUUUCCAUACCUGCAAAUGAACAUAUAGGUGCUGGUUGAGUUUGACACCUGCCAAUGCACAAUAUCUGCAAGAGAGUCUUCCUUUUUUCCCUUAAAAAGUUGAAAUGAACCCUUUUUUCCCUUAAAAACUUGAAAUGAACCCUAUAGUUUUGACCAAUCACCUGGAAAGAAAGUAGCGAUAUCAAUUUUUAUAAAAAUGCCCCUUUUAUGAUUUGAGUUGUUUGAUGUUUAAUUUUUUUGUUAUUGAUUUUCAGUGUAUUGCCAAAAUAUAGUUAUUUGUACAUUAAAGAAGACAUCACAUGUCAUCAAGAUUGUUAUUUAAUAAAAUUAAUCAAAUCCAUGUAACUAUGGAUAAUUAGAUUUUAUAUGUAUGUGCUGGAAUGUUACAAUAUUCUUAAUGAACAAAAAAGUUGUCAAACAUAAUUAUCUCCCCUUUUAGCUGAACUUAGAAAGAGAAAGUCUACUACUUUGUAGCUCCAGGUUUUAGUGGCCGCAAUGGGUUGUAUAUGUCAUUCAUUGUUAGAUUGUCUUUUCAUGAAAAUAUUUGUGAUAUACUGGUCUUUCCAUGUUUGUUAUUAUAUUUUACUUAAAUAUUUAUAGCAAUACAAUGUUUUGAUUUCUUGCAUGUUAUUUAUUCACUUUGCUACUUGUUUUUAGAAUAUCAGUUUUUUUAUUUAUUUCUUUUUCAUUCAGAAAACAGUUUGAUGUUAAAGUGGUUUAAGUUUUUUUCCAAAGCAAUAAUAUAAGGCUGCAAUAAAAGAUACUUUUUAGUAUACAUAAAUGAGACAGCAUUAUAGCAGCAGCAUUAAACCAAAAAAAAUAGUUCUUAAGUAUAUAUUUACAUUGGUUUUUAUUUUAUACCAUCAAAGUACUAUCUUAUUUGUGGCAUUCUAAUUAUGGCAAACAUAGCAAUUAAAGAUUUCAAAUUUUGUCAAAAAACAAAUAAGGAUACAUGGCCGUUAUCAUUAAUCAUCAUAUUUCCCCUUUUUUCAAUACCAUAAGCAUCAUUAAUAAGAUGAAAUUUUAUCCUCAAGACAUGUGUGGCAUCAUAUUUUUAAUCUUAAACAUUACUGUAAAUCAUUGUGUGAGUCUUAUACAUAUUUAAGGCAAAAAAAGUGCGGACUAUACACAACCAAAUACGGCAGUAAACAUAAAACAUAUAAAUAUACACAGAAAUCAGACUUGGCUUUGAAAAUACAUAUUUCGAUUCAUGUUUCAAAAGUUUAAGUUCAAGGUAAAUUCAAAGAGAGACAAAUCAAUAAAACAACAUUAAAUUCUUAUAUAAAUUUUAUAACAGUGCUUGAGAAAAAUUGAAAUAUGAAUUAAGCAUUUGCAUGAAAAAAAAAGAUUAAUAAAAG